rnacentral:rRNA from 1 species
AUGCCCUAUUUGAAGGACUAUGGGCAUCAUUGGCAUAAACGCAAGAAAGAUAACCCAGAUGACAUUGUUGCUAUUUUAGCUGUGAGAGGACCACCAAAGAAGACGGCAAAGACCACCAAAGCAUCAAUUGUGCCUUGCAAGGAUGAUGCUCCAGCAGCCUCUAUGUGCUUUCCGCCAAGCCAAAGCUUGGAACCUACAACUACGAAAAAGAGAAAAACUGAUAACUCAAUUACUGGAGCAUCAAAAAUCCAAAUGUUGGAGAAAACAACUAAGAAAAAAGGGAAAGGGAGUAAAUCUGGACCCGGAGUAGAAAAAGGUCAAGAACUCAGUCCAUUUGUGUGGCCAACAAGAAAACAUCUGUUGCUGUCUAGGUACAUGCCAAAAGAAAAGGCAAAGAGGUUGCUGAUAAGUUGCCACACCUUCCUAUGGUGCCACAUGAGAGCCCUGCAAUGGGCACACGAAGCAAAAAAAUGA